UGGUGCAGCCAAAGGUACCUCAGGGAGUGAUCUCAACACUCCCCUGGGUCAGGCCUGGCCACUAUUUGGAUGGGAGAUCACCAAGGAAAAACAGGCGCUGCAGGAA
rnacentral:rRNA from 1 species